UCCUCUUGGUGGAAAUGCAGAUUGGUGCAACCACUGUGGAAAGCAGUAUGAUGCUUCCUCAAAAAUUAAAAAUACAGCUGCCUUAUGACCUAGCAUUUCCACUUCUGAGAAUAUAUCUGCAGAAACCUGAAACACUGAUCUCAAAGGGUAUAUGCACCCCUAUGUUCACUGCAGCAUUAUUUACAAUAGCGAAGAUUUCACAGCAGCCCAAGUACCCAGCAGCAGAUAAGCGGAGACAAAGCUGUGGUACAUUAUACACAACAGAAUACUACUCACCCGCACACCCAAAAAGGAAAUCUUAUCUUUUGGAACAGCAUGGAUGGAGCUGAAAAAUAGCACAUUGUGACACAUGCUACAACCUGGAUGCACCAGUCACAGAAAGACAAAUACUGUGUGAUCACUCUCACAUGAGGUCCCUGGAGCCAUCAGAGUCAUAGAGACACAGGAACGCUGGGCCAUGGUCCUGUCGACAGAGCAGAGUCACUUCUUGGUGUCUUGGUUGGGUGCGGCACAGUGCCCUGGAGAGACGCUACCCAAGGACAAGGAUGAAGGAAGGCAGCAUUGUCAUUGGAAGCACGUGCCUUUUAAUCAUCUACAGAUCGCACCUGCAGAAACAACACUUAUGCUCUGUUAAAGAGAUGGCUCCAAUUUACCUGUCAACUUGACCGGGAGAUGAAAAAAGUAAUGCUGUUUUCCCUGAAAAGCAUCCUGUUAUAUGAAGCUUCCACACAGCUCAUGGAGAGGAGUCUAAGAUUCUCAGCGAACCAGAGAUUCUAGCAGAAGGACCUGGAAGGUGGCUGAAAUGCAGGGGGAGAGGAGCUGUGGGUGAGCUGGGCCCCCACAGAGCACACCCCAGAGGCUAGCAUAGGUUCUAUGCACGCUCUUGCUGAGGUCACCUCCAGGGCUGCUGAGACAGAAGUGAGGUGUGAACUUCAUAUGCUCCACAGACUGACACAGUGGGCUCUCACCUCUGCCACUCAGUGGUGGGAAGACAGACUGUGGAGCCCGUCCAGUCGGGGCAGCACAUCCAUCACCAGCCUCCUCUGAAGUCUGGAAGAAGAACUGAAUGUGAACACGCACAGGGGUCAAGGGCCAGGGGCCAGGGCUGUAGAGCCCCAGCCUGCAGUCCCACCACACCCUGCACUUUAGUUUCAAGUACAAGCUCAUUUUUGCCAAUAGCACAACAUUUUUUUAAGAGUAAGAAUUGUAGGUUUGACUUUGAAGAAAAAAUAACUCAAAUUACAUUAGAGAUUUCAGAAAUCAACUACAGUCCUCCGCUCUACCAGCUGAGCUAUCGAAGGGACUACAUUAGAGAUUUCAAUGUUGGUUUGUCACAUCUUCAAUGGAUAUUAGCUGAACCCAUUGUGGUUAUCAUUUCACAACGUAUGUAAAUCAAACCACAGAGCUGUCUGCCUUAAACUUAUACAGUGAAAAAAAUAUCAAUUUUUUCUCAAUAAAGCUGGGGAAAAUAAAGAGUGCCUUAAUAA